rnacentral:rRNA from 1 species
GAUGAACGCUGGCGGCGUGCCUAAUACAUGCAAGUCGAGCGAACGGACGAGAAGCUUGCUUUUCUGAUGUUAGCGGCGGACGGGUGAGUAACACGUGGAUAACCUACCUAUAAGACUGGGAUAACUUCGGGAAACCGGAGCUAAUACCGGAUAAUAUUUUGAACCGCAUGGUUCAAAAGUGAAAGACGGUCUUGCUGUCACUUAUAGAUGGAUCCGCGCUGCAUUAGCUAGUUGGUAAGGUAACGGCUUACCAAGGCAACGAUGCAUAGCCGACCUGAGAGGGUAAUCGGCCACACUGGAACUGAGACACGGUCCAGACUCCUACGGGAGGCAGCAGUAGGGAAUCUUCCGCAAAGGGCGAAAGCCUGACGGAGCAACGCCGCGUGAGUGAUGAAGGUCUUCGGAUCGUAAAACUCUGUUAUUAGGGAAGAACAUAUGUGUAAGUAACUGUGCACAUCUUGACGGUACCUAAUCAGAAAGCCACGGCUAACUACGUG